UUUUCAUGGCUUUCCGGUAAGCACCACCAGAGCAGAAAAUACCUGAGGUUUAUAGGGAAGCCACAGUCUUCUAAUCAGCAUUGUGUCUGAAGGAAAUGAGAAGCUGAAUUUCUCCUUCCUCUAAAGUCCUGUUAAUUUUAAUCCUUUUUCAUGGAGCUGGAUUCAUUCCACAGCCAGAUUGACUGCGCAUCUUGGUCACGUGGCACCACACAUGACAGACUGCUUUCGUCCUGGUAAGCUGAGCCUAAAUGUGAUAAACCAGGGAAGAUCUGUAAACAAAUGAAAUGGUUAUGAGGGCUGUUCUGCCAGUGGAAGAUUGAUUAGUACUCCACCUAUUCUAGCCUCAUUUCCUUAUCACUUGU